UACGAGGGGGGCGAGCGUUGUUCGGAAUUAUUGGGCGUAAAGGGUGCGUAGGCGGUUCCGCAAGUCCUGUGUGAAAUCUUCGGGCUCACCUCGAAGUCUGCACGAGAAACUGCCGGGCUUGAGUAUGGGGAGAGGUGAGUGGAAUUCCUGGUGUAGCGGUGAAAUGCGUAGAUAUCAGGAGGAACACCUGUGGCGAAGGCAGCGAGCUGGGCGACACCUGACGCUGAGGCGCGAAAGCGUGGGUAGCAAACAGG
rnacentral:rRNA from 1 species